rnacentral:rRNA from 1 species
CAGCCGCCACGGGAAUACGGAGGGGGCUAGCGUUGCUCGGAAUUACUGGGCGUAAAGGGAGCGUAGGCGGACUGUUUAGUCAGAGGUGAAAGCCCAGGGCUCAACCUUGGAAUUGCCUUUGAUACUGGCAGUCUUAAGUACGGAAGAGGUAUGUGGAACUCCGAGUGUAGAGGUGAAAUUCGUAGAUAUUCGGGAGAACACCAGUGGCGAAGGCGACAUACUGGUCCGUUACUGACGCUGAGGCUCGAAAGCGUGGGGAGCAAACAGGAUUAGAGACCCCUGUAGUCCCUGUCUCUUAUAU